rnacentral:rRNA from 1 species
CACGUAGGGCGCGAGCGUUGUCCGGAAUUAUUGGGCGUAAAGAGCUCGUAGGCGGCCUGUUGCGUCCGCUGUGAAAGCCCGGGGCUUAACCCCGGGUCGGCAGUGGAUACGGGCAGGCUAGAGGUAGGUAGGGGAGAAUGGAAUUCCCGGUGUAGCGGUGAAAUGCGCAGAUAUCAGGAGGAACACCUGUGGCGAAAGCGGCGCACUGGACCACAACUGACGCUGAGGCGCGAAAGCUAGGGGAGCAAACAGG